rnacentral:rRNA from 1 species
UUAAAAAGCUCGUAGUUGGAUUUCGGUUGAGAACGGCCGGUCCGCCGUUUGGUGUGCACUGGCUGGUUUCAACUUCCUGUAGAGGACGCGCUCUGGCUUCACGGCUGGACGCGGAGUCUACGUGGUUACUUUGAAAAAAUUAGAGUGUUCAAAGCGGGCUUACGCUUGAAUAUUUCAGCAUGGAAUAACACUAUAGGACUCCUGUCCUAUUUCGUUGGUCUCGGGACGGGAGUAAUGAUUAAGAGGAACAGUUGGGGGCAUUCGUAUUUCAUUGUCAGAGGUGAAAUUCUUGGAUUUAUGAAAGACGAACUUCUGCGAAAGCAUUUGCCAAGGAUGUUUUCAUUAAUCAAGAACGAAAGUUGGGGGCUCGAAGAUGAUUAGAUACCAUCCUAGUCUCAACCAUAAACGAUGCCGACUAGGGAUUGCAGGAUGUUAAUUGAUGACUCCUGCAGCUCCUUAUGAGAAAUCAAAGUUUUUGGGUUCCGGGGGGAGCAUGGUCGCAAGGCUGAAACUUAAAGGAAUUGAC